rnacentral:lncRNA from 12 species
UUAAGAAAACACGUACACCAACUGCCUCUUGUCUCCGCCAGCCCCGGGGCCCCGAGUGCCAUUGCGGGGAGGGGCCCCGGCCCCCCCGGCCCCCGCGGCCCCCGCGGCCCCGGCUGCUGCGGCGGCGGCUGCGGCGGCUGCGGCGGCGGCGGCGGCGGCGGCUGCAGCGGCGGGGGCCGCCCCGACGGCGGCAGGAGGGCGGUACGGAGUACGGGGGUCCAGGCGGGUGUGUGCGCGGGGCGGCGCCGCCGGGGGGGGGCCCGGGCGCCCCCAGCCGCCCCCAGCAGCCCCCGCCGCGGCGCCCGGCGGCCCGUCGGGGCCGCACUGCUGCAGCGGCUCCUUGUGCCACUUGUAGUCCAGGAGGUUGAGCAUGGUGAGCACCAGCAGCAGCGCGUAGCCCGCGCACAGCACCAGCGCCUUCCUGCGGAACACCUUCAUUCCGAGCGGGGACGCGGGCCAGCGACGGCCCGGGCGCCGGGGCCACGGCGAGAGCAGGGCGCGCGGCGCGGCUGCAGGCGCGGCCGGGAGCAGCCGGGGGGGCGCGUCCGAGGGCAGAGCUCGCGGCGGGCUCCGGCUCAUCACAGACACAGCCGGGGCCGGUGGCGCGGCGGAGGCGGCCCUGCAGCCCAGGACCGGGACGCGGCGGGCCGGCUUCGGGCGCGGGGACUGGGGCCGCGGCUCCGGGGCGGGCGCGGCGGCAGCGGCGGCUGGUCCCCGACGCCCAGGGCGGGCUCUCCCAUGGCAGCGGCUCCGGGAAGGACCUGCGAGGGCAAGCGGAGGGAGCCCGUGAGCCCCAGGCCUCCUCCCCGUGCGCCGCCUCCACCUGAGUAACGCCCACCCUCGGGUCCGCCGGGCUCCCCGCUCACCUGGAGCCGCGGGCGCACCCCGGAGCCGCCCGGGAUCACGGCCGGCUGGUCGCUGCUGCUGCCGCCCGCUCCCCGACUUCUCGCGCACGGUCUGUCCCGGGAGUCCCCGCCUCGCGGGGGGCCGCGGGGCCGUGCAGCCCACGCCCCGGGCAGUUUCCGGGCGGCGGGCGCCCCGCGGCUCGGGAAGGGAAACUUUCACGGGGCCUGGAAGCCCGCUCCGCGCUCGCCGAGCCCAGCGCGCCCGGCUCCAGGCGCCUCCGCCGCCCUCUCGAGACCGCAGCUUCCUUCCUCGCCCCGGGGGGCGAAGCCGGCGGGGGGAGGGGGCUCAGGCGGGACCCAGCUCCCGGCAGAGCGGCUCCGCCUUCCCGGCUCUCGGCCUCCGCGCCCGGAAUCUUCCCAUCCCUCCGGCGGCGGCGGAUGGGGCGCAGCGCGACCCCGCAGCGGCG